UUGUGAGGUUGUGAGUUCAAUCCCCAGUGGCAUGUUGUAUCCUUCAGCAAGACACUUUAUUUCAUGUUGCUCCAGUCCACUCAGCUGGCAAAAAAAUGAGUUGGACUU